rnacentral:rRNA from 1 species
UCCAGAGGGGGCAAGCGUUGUUCGGAAUUACUGGGCGUAAAGGACGCGUAGGCGGCCUUCUAAGUCGAACGUGAAAUCCCCGGGCUCAACCCGGGAACUGCGUCCGAUACUGGAAGGCUUGAAUCCGGGAGAGGGAUGCGGAAUUCCAGGUGUAGCGGUGAAAUGCGUAGAUAUCUGGAGGAACACCGGUGGCGAAGGCGGCAUCCUGGACCGGCAUUGACGCUGAGGCGCGAAAGCCAGGGGAGCAAACGGG